rnacentral:rRNA from 1 species
GACGAACGCUGUCGGCGUGCUUAACACAUGCAAGUCGAACGGAAAGGCCCUGCUUUUGUGGGGUGCUCGAGUGGCGAACGGGUGAGUAACACGUGAGUAACCUGCCCUUGACUUUGGGAUAACUUCAGGAAACUGGGGCUAAUACCGGAUAGGCGCUCCUGCUGCAUGGUGGGGGUUGGAAAGUUUCGGCGGUUGGGGAUGGACUCGCGGCUUAUCAGCUUGUUGGUGGGGUAGUGGCUUACCAAGGCUUUGACGGGUAGCCGGCCUGAGAGGGUGACCGGCCACAUUGGGACUGAGAUACGGCCCAGACUCCUACGGGAGGCAGCAGUGGGGAAUAUUGCACAAUGGGCGGAAGCCUGAUGCAGCAACGCCGCGUGCGGGAUGACGGCCUUCGGGUUGUAAACCGCUUUCGCCUGUGACGAAGCGUGAGUGACGGUAAUGGGUAAAGAAGCACCGGCUAACUACGUG